rnacentral:rRNA from 2 species
UGGGGAAUAUUGGGCAAUGGGCGAAAGCCUGACCCAGCAACGCCGCGUGAAGGAUGAAGGCUUUCGGGUUGUAAACUUCUUUGAUCGGGGACGAAGAUGACGGUACCUCAAAAACAAGCCACGGCUAACUACGUGCCAGCAGCCGCGGUAAUACGUAGGUGGCGAGCGUUGUCCGGAAUUACUGGGUGUAAAGGGCGUGUAGGCGGGAAAGCAAGUCAGAUGUGAAAUACCGGGGCUUAACUCCGGGGCUGCAUCUGAAACUGUUUUUCUUGAGUGUCGGAGAGGAAAGCGGAAUUCCUAGUGUAGCGGUGAAAUGCGUAGAUAUUAGGAGGAACACCAGUGGCGAAGGCGGCUUUCUGGACGACAACUGACGCUGAGGCGCGAAAGCGUGGGGAGCAAACAGG